UACGUAGGAGGCGAGCGUUGUCCGGAUUUACUGGGCGUAAAGGGCGCGCAGGCGGCUGUGCAAGUAAGGUGUGAAAUCUCCCUGCUCAACGGGGAGGGAGCACUUUAGACUGCCCGGCUAGAGGACGGUAGAGGGGGGUAGAAUUGCUGGUGUAGCGGUGAAAUGCGUAGAGAUCAGCAGGAAUACCCGUGGCGAAGGCGGCCCCCUGGGCCGAACCUGACGCUGAGGCGCGAAGGCUAGGGGAGCGAACGGG
rnacentral:rRNA from 1 species